AACGAACGCUGGCGGCAGGCCUAACACAUGCAAGUCGAACGAGAAGCCACCUUCGGGUGGUGGAAAGUGGCAGACGGGUGAGUAACGCGUGGGAACGUGCCUUUCGGUUCGGGAUAACCCAGGGAAACUUGGGCUAAUACCGGAUACGCCCUCCGGGGGAAAGAUUCAUUGCCGAAAGAUCGGCCCGCGUCGGAUUAGCUAGUUGGUGGGGUAAUAGCCUACCAAGGCGACGAUCCGUAGCUGGUCUGAGAGGAUGACCAGCCACACUGGGACUGAGACACGGCCCAGACUCCUACGGGAGGCAGCAGUGGGGAAUAUUGGACAAUGGGCGAAAGCCUGAUCCAGCCAUGCCGCGUGGGUGAAGAGGGCCUUAGGGUUGUAAAUCCCUUUCAGCGGGGACGAUAAUGACGGUACCCGCAGAAGAAGUCCCGGCUAACUCCGUGCCAGCCGCCGCAGUAA
rnacentral:rRNA from 1 species